rnacentral:ncRNA from 1 species
AGUAGGUGAAAGAACCCGACCAAACCCCACCCCUCCCGCCCCGUGGAUCAAACUCACCCGGGCGGGUGAAAUAGCCCAACACAGCUGGAUUUGGUGCCUGUUGCCUGGCUUACGCUCAACGCGACAGCCGCCGACAUACGUCGGCCCCCGCAGGGACCGGCAAUCCCGUGCGAGGGCCUGACCAACUAGGAAGCGACCCUUCCCG